rnacentral:piRNA from 1 species
UCUUCUGAAGGUCCUGAGUUCAAAUCCC